CUGUGCCUUUAAGCCACACUCUCUGGUUGUUACAGCUGUAAUGUAAGAACUACUGAUUGCUGGGAUAUAUAGCUUUUGUGCACCCAAAGCCUCAGUAGCCUUCCUAAUGUUUGGAAUAAACUCUUUCCUACAAGACUCUGCUGGCUGUUGAGCUUCCUUCAUACGAAGAAUAUUACAUGGUGUCAGAAGUGGGAUACAAACCUCUCCUGUGCUACAACCUGGAAGCUAGCGUCCACCGAAAAAGGAGUGUUUAGACAUGGAGUCAUUUCGUCCUCCUCCUCCCCUUGCUAUGCAAGGUAAUUUGGCUGAGAACUGGAGACGGUGGGAACAGGCCUUUCAGUUGUAUCUUGCUGCAGCGGGACUUGAGAAUGUGUCAAAGAAGCGGCAGAUAGCUAUCCUGCUACAUUGUGUGGGAGAGGAAGGAGUUUCUUUAUAUAAUACAUUUGUUUUUGCCGAGGAGAACCCGAAAGAUAUUGCAGAGGUUCUGGAACAGUUUAGGACUUAUUUUUUUACCUCGGAAGAACAUUGUGUUUGAAAGGUUUUGUUUCUGGAACCAUAUGCAGAGUCCUGGAGUUACAAAUGUGCAAUUUAUUGCUGAGCUAAAACUGAAAGCAGCCAGCUGUGAAUUUGGAAUGGCAGUUAAUGAGAUGAUAAGAGAUAAAGUUGUUUUUAGUUUACAGCAAGAGAAACUGAAACAAAAGUUGUUACAAGAAGCCGAUCUUACACUUGAGAAGGCCGUGGAGAUAUGCCGGGUUGAUGAGACAACGAGAGCUCAGCUGAGAACCAUGGCAAUAACAUCGGAAGAAGGAGUGUUUGAAUUACAAGACAGCCAUGGAGAAAACAAAGAGAUUAUAACUCAAGCUCUGGGAACCAGGGAGUCAAGACACAGAGACAAUUGGAAAAAUCAGAAUAAGUGUGGUUAUUGUGGUACAGCUCAUGAACCUCGGAGAUGUCCAGCAUUUGGAAAGACCUGCAACAAGUGUGGCAAGAAAAAUCAUUAUGCCAGGUUAUGCAGGUCAAGGGUGACCAAUCCUGUGAAUAUACAAGCCAGACAACACAUUCAUGAGUUGAAUGAUUCCUAUUAACGUGCGUCAAGAUCUACAAAGAGCUCAGGAAAGACAAAAACAUUUUUAUGAUCGAACAGCAAGACCUCAAACCACUAAGAGAGGGAGAUUUGGUAUGGAUGCAAUCCAAUAAUUGCAAAGAAAGAUGGCUUCCUGCCGUUGUGAUAGAAAAAUGUAAACGGCCUCGGUCAUAUCUAAUAAAGAAUCAGGACGGUCGCGUAUAUCGGCGUAAUAGGCGUCAAUUAAAACAACGGAACCAAACACCCGAAACUACAAUUCAAGGAAAUACAACAUAUAAUGGUUCUAAAGGGAUGUUUGUGAACAAAAAUGACGCACAUGUAAUAGCAAAUAGAAAGCCAACGUAUGUGACAUCGCAUGGCAGGCCUGUGUUUGAACCUGUAAGGUACACUCCUUAGAAGGAUGGUGCUGAAGACCAUCCUCAACGGUGGGCUAAGUACUAGUGACCUCUGGCCCCAUAGAAGACAUAUUUUCUUACCUGUCUAGUGAUGUAAUGAAGCUGCCAAGUUUUAAUGAGAGACUUUUGUAAUUUUGAUGUAUGAUUUUUUUAACACUUUUAUAAAAUGUAUUUUGUUUUGUCUUGUCAGAUGUGUAGUUAUUAUGUAUGAAGGGGAGAUGUGGUAUACUGUGCCUUUAAGCCACACUCUCUGGUUGUUACAGCUGUAAUGUAAGAACUACUGAUUGCUGGGAUAUAUAGCUUUUGUGCACCCAAAGCCUCAGUAGCCUUCCUAAUGUUUGGAAUAAACUCUUUCCUACAAGACUCUGCUGGCUGUUGAGCUUCCUUCAUACGAAGAAUAUUACAAAUGUUUUCAAUACAUUGUGAUGUUUUGGUGCUAAAUUCAUAAAUACAGUAAUUACUACAUAACGUUACCGUGUAUUGAAUGGCUUUUUUCUGUCAAUUUGUUGUAAAACAUGAUGUUUUGUUGCUUAAUUUGUAAAAUCAUAACGUAAAUUGAUGUUUAAUAGGCUUUUCCUUAAUCCUUCUUUAUUAUUCAACAUUUUCACUUAUCCAACGUUCUGUCGGCCCGUUUAUGUUGGAUAAGUGUGACUCUUCUGUAUUUGGAAUCCUUUGUCAGAGAGUUCUACUGCCUUACUACAAAUCCCAGGAAUCCAUAAAAUGCAGUCUUGAGAGUCAAAGUGGUAUUGAUGUAUGGAGUCUGAAAGAGAUUCAAGCGUUCAUUAGGCUUAUGGCUGUCACAUGUGCUGAAUGUUUGUCCAGAAAACUGCCCAAUUGGGAAUUAUCCUAUAAUAAUUCACAUAGUUUCACCUUUUCUCUUUACUUUAGAAUGGUUGAAAUCCAUUAUUUUGUCCCAACAUUGAAUAGAUUCAUUGUGUCAAUGCAGUUUAUGUAUUCUGUAUUUCUAAGUUCCCUAUGAUUCUAUGAAUCAACUGCAGAUUGGGCUAGCACCUGGAUUUCAGCCAGUGUAUUUAGUGCUAUUAUUUAUCUGGUGAACAUUUUAUGGGCGCUGUGGAUCAGUUCUAGGGAUUUAUUUUCUUGAGCUAUCUCUAAGCUAAAUAGAGGAAAGUUGUUUUUUUGACUUACAACUCUCAGUGUGCCACUGGUCAUGCUGUCUGGGGAUUAUGGGGAAGAUAGUCCAAAUGUUUACUUCUCCAAGCUCUGUCUUGGGACAAAAACACUAUUUGCUGUUGCUGUAUACUGCCAGUUUCAGGGUUAUGUUGCAGCAUUUGUUCAUUUGCCACAAUGUAGAGAAGGUUGCUAUUAGCCCUCCAAUGCAGAAACUUACAAAUCUUCUUUUCCAGCUGGACCAGUGGGAAUUGUAUGACUUUCCAGAUGCUUGCAGAUUGCAACUUGCAUCAGCCAUAGUCAGUAUAGCCAAUGAUGAGCAAUGCUGGGAAUUACUUGGAAUAAUAUUGACAUACAGAUUGGCCUAAUAUGUGUUGUUGAAGGCCUAAUAUUCAUUCAAUGUUUCUGAGAUAUUUGUUUUGUCCCAAAACAAUCAUUGGGAAGGUUGCAUGAAUCCCACUUCUGCUAUAGGAUUUGUAAAUGCCCACACUGAAUUAUGAACCUGAUUUUGAGAAAGUUUUUAGGGCAUUUGAAAGAUAUGGUGAAGCACCUCAACUUGCAGCAAGUCAUCAGCAUUGAGCUUGUGCCAUUUGUAAUAUAUCUUUGUCUUGAAAAAAUAUUAUUUCUUAAUUUCUUUCUGGUUGAAUCUAAGGUUCUGAAACUAUUCCGCUAGGAUCCGCAUCCUGAGUGGCACAGGACUCCGUUGGACAUAAUUGCUGAUUGGCUCUUUUUGGUGUUGGGAAAAUCAAACUGUCAUUGGAGCAUUUGAAAUGUCAGUCCAUUUAAUGGUCUGCCUCUGAGACACGUGCUAACCAAAAGGAGUGUGGUGUGGCAUUAGGUAAUGAGUUCUUGAUGAGUUUAACGGGCUGACUCCAGUGGGAAUGAUACGGUUAGUUCAAAUUAUGCAAUAGAUGCUUGGGGAUGAUGUCCAUUUCAAUAGGUGAGGCUGACUUGAGGCUUGGAAGCCAAGCCGUUCCAACCAAUAUCUUAGAUAAUAUCAAGGAAGUCAGAAAAUAAACCCAGAAACUCUGACAAAUUCAUUAUGUGCUCCCCUCACGUCUCCCAGUUCAUUGUGAGGGGAUUAUGGAGAUUAGAGGAAAGGAGUUUGGGUGUGAUUAGACAGUAUUCCAGAGAAAAUUCAUACAAAAGGUUAAUGUAAGGCAAAAUGCAUGCACACAGAGCUGCAGCUUCUUUUUAAUAUAAUUUUGCAGAUUUCAUAAUUUGGGGUCAGAUUUCUUGUUAUCAUUGCUUCAGUUGUAAACAGUUGUUAUAUUCCUCCCUUCUCUAGUGC
rnacentral:lncRNA from 11 species